AUCAAGUCAGGUUGCUUAUAUUGAGUGUCA
rnacentral:piRNA from 1 species